GAUGAACGCUAGCGGCAGGCCUAAUACAUGCAAGUCGAACGGGAUCCAGAUCAAAGCUUGCUUUUGGUUUGGUGAGAGUGGCGCACGGGUGCGUAACGCGUGAGCAACCUACCCUUGUCAGGGGGAUAGCCCGGCGAAAGUCGGAUUAAUACCGCAUGACAUCAUUGAGAGGCAUCUUUCGAUGAUCAAAGAUUUAUCGGACAAGGAUGGGCUCGCGNGACAUUAGCUAGUUGGUAAGGUAACGGCUUACCAAGGCUACGAUGUCUAGGGGCUCUGAGA
rnacentral:rRNA from 1 species